rnacentral:rRNA from 1 species
UACAGAGGGUGCGAGCGUUGUCCGGAAUCACUGGGCGUAAAGGGCGCGUAGGUGGCCCGACAAGUCACUGGUGAAAGCUCGAUGCUCAACAUCGAGUCGGCCAGUGAUACUGUUGGGCUGGAGCACUGUAGAGGCUAAUGGAAUUCCGGGUGUAGCGGUGGAAUGCGUAGAGAUCGGGAAGAACAUCAGUGGCGAAGGCGGCCUGCUGGGCUGUUGCUGACGCUGAGGCGCGACAGCGUGGGGAGCAAACAGG